GCACGUUUCUCUCCUCCUUUUUCUCUCUCCAGAGUAUCUCUCCCCCAUCUGCUCUCUCUCUCUUUCUCUCUCUGAGAAUACGGACUCCUCCCCGCACUUAGCCGCCGCCUCCCUCCCUUGCACCAGAGGACGGCACCACCGCCGCUCUCCCCGCGCACGCCGAAUAGCCAAUCUCCCCUCUCUCUUCUGUUUUGUUUCUGUUUUCUGAUUACAAAAACCCCUCUCUCUCACUCCCCGCGCCCGCCGAAUCGCCAAGCCUCAUCAACUCCGCCGGGAGUAUAAUCAUCGAGUGUUCAGAGUCUUUCAGACAAACAGAAAAGCAGAUCUGAAAAUGGGUCAAUCAGUGAAACCCAUAUCGAGCCCAGUCCCCGAUGAGUGGUUCCCAACCCUAGCGGUCUUCAUGCUUGCGAUCGGCCUCAUCGUCACCGCUUCUUUCUUUAUGGUUAUGCUUGGGAAAUAACAACUGCUGAAGGUGGCUAUGGUCUAGAUGAACUCUUAAGUAGUCGAAAGAGUGUUCUGACCGGUAUGUGUUUUGUUCCUUACAUUGGGUGCUACUUCUAUUGAGCAUUUUCUCUAUUAGAAAGGCGAAUGGUUGAGAGAGAAUCAUGUUAGUGCCGACUUUUUGAUGGUUUCCGUCUCCAUUCCAUAAUUAUUGAAUCUUAUGUUUGACCACCCGCUAUCUUAAGUCGCGAGACUGCAAUGCAAACCGAAAUCUCCUUCCACAGCUAUUUCACCCCAGCUUUCGCUUGCAAAGAGAUUGAAUGAAAGGAUAUUAGGCUAUAUUGUUUGACCAAAGUUUAGUAAACUGAAAGACAAUUACUUGGGCCCUCCGCUAUUAACAUUUUUUCCCCAUUAUUGAUUCUUUAUUUAUUUCUGAUUAUAUCCUUUGCGCACACAGCUUUUCUAAUGGAGGUACUGUUUUGUUAAAUUUUUGGUAGCUGUAUUCUAAUCUCAUUCUCUAAUCUUUGGUACUGAAGAAAUACAAAAUACCCAAGCAUCUCCCCAAGGUCAAAGUGAUAGCAAUCUAACUCAAGGUAUGUACAAUGAAGAACUACUCUGAUAGAUACAUAGGGAAUCUAGCUACUAUAUAGAUUUUGGCUGAUAGGUGUGGUUGUUAAUGGUGGUAACAAACAUUCAUUGUUAUGGCUUGGUAGGAAAAAAAAAAAAACAACUUAACUGUGACAGAGUUAGAUUGAAUCUUGCGAUCAAAUUAGCUACGUAGCUAUAAGCAAAAAUAAGAGACAUUAAAGGCAUGACAGUUUCACAUACAAAGCUACAUGAGUAGCUACAAAAGAUCUUUUAGAAAAUCAACUGUUCUUAUAGUAUUUUGUGAGAGUUGUCGAUGAUGGUCUGAUUUGGUGAUGAACAAAUGCUAGGAAAGACUUGCUAUUAUUAUUGUGCUUUGUUCGGUUUGGUUGAUCAGUGUGAUAGUAUUACAGAAAAUACCACGACUUGAUUGCUUUUUUUGCCCCAAUAUAGAAACUCUGCUUUUUUUUGCCCCAAACUAUUACUGUAUUCAAUAGUAUAGAGUUUCUAUACGAUUGAAUACAUUGGUUAUAUACGACCUUCAUAACUCAAAAAUUCUACUUUCUCUCUUUGAGUUAUCAGGCUACAUGACUCCCAAAUUUUGUUGAUUGAGGACGAAUCGAACAUUGCGCUCACCCCAGCAAAGAGAACUGCCAAGGGCAACGGAAUCCUACAGAAUAUUUGCCAUCCAAUCAGCUUUAAACAGUUGGAAGCCCCGUAACUUAAGAAGUUGGGCUGCCCGCGGAAUAGAACAUGCUGCUCAGUCGUAUCUAGCUGCAUCAACAUUUGAUUCUCGAUGCAUUUGUGUAGGCAAAUACAGGAUGAGGUUGAAAUAUGAGAAUUGAUUGCUUAUUGAUCAUGUUGGCCAUCGUUGCUGUUGGGAAAGUCGUUCGGCUCGAACCUGGAAAAUUCAGGCAGUGGAAGACUGCAAUGUCUUAGUUGAAACUUUAGAGACUUUCAUCGAGGAGUGGGAAGCAGUUACAGAAAUAUGGCUGUUCCUUGGAGGCAACAUUGAUGGAAAGGAUAAGGGUUUUGAACUUGCAAUCUGGGAGUUGGAUUUAAGAUCUGAAUUACCUAUUUUAUUUAUACCUCACAAAGGAUCGCGAUCAGAAUGCGUUGCGCUGUGCCGCCUUCAGGCACGGGCAUGCACUAGAAAUUGUAUUCAAUUUUCGUUGUAUAUCUAAAGGAGUGUGGUGCUGCUCUUUCUUAGAAAUUGUAUCUUAAAAAUGCUGAAGCUGUAAAUUGGUAGCUGUAAAUUGUAUCUAAAGGGUUCUGUUAUUGUUGCUGUGUUGUGGGAAAAAUGUUUAAACCACGUGCGUUUUUGCC